rnacentral:sRNA from 1 species
GCACCUUAAAAAAACGGGUGCCGGGUUUGAUAGCCUGAUCCAUGAAGCGGACGUUAGCCGCUAUAAGCGGUUUUUUU